AAAAAGGCAAACUCUAUGUUUCCGUGUCCAACGUUGACUGUCCGUCUUAUAUAAAAUUUUUUUAUAAUUAGUAUUUUCAUGGUUGUUAGAUGAUAAAACAUGAUUAAUACUUUACAUGUGACUUGUCUUUUUUAAUUUUUUUCAUAUUUUUUUCAAAUAAAACGAACGGUCAAACCUUGGACACGAAAAUCCAGGGUUUGUCUCUUU
rfam:Oryza sativa Japonica Group DNA, chromosome 6, cultivar: Nipponbare, complete sequence.